GACGAACGCUGGCGGCGUGCUUAACACAUGCAAGUCGAACGGAAAGGCCUGCAGCUUGCUGCGGGUACUCGAGUGGCGAACGGGUGAGUAACACGUGGGUGAUCUGCCUUGCACUUCGGGAUAAGCUUGGGAAACUGGGUCUAAUACCGGAUAGGACAGCUGUUUAGUGUCAGUUGUGGAAAGUUUUUUCGGUGCAAGAUGAGCUCGCGGCCUAUCAGCUUGUUGGUGGGGUAAUGGCCUACCAAGGCGUCGACGGGUAGCCGGCCUGAGAGGGUGUACGGCCACAUUGGGACUGAGAUACGGCCCAGACUCCUACGGGAGGCAGCAGUGGGGAAUAUUGCACAAUGGGCGGAAGCCUGAUGCAGCGACGCCGCGUGGGGGAUGAAGGCCUUCGGGUUGUAAACUCCUUUCGACAGGGACGAAGCGUAAGUGACGGUACCUGUAUAAGAAGCACCGGCUAACUACGUGCCAGCAGCCACGGUAAUACGUAGGGUGCGAGCGUUGUCCGGAAUUACUGGGCGUAAAGAGCUCGUAGGUGGUUUGUCGCGUCGUCUGUGAAAUUCCGGGGCUUAACUCCGGGCGUGCAGGCGAUACGGGCUGACUUGAGUGCUGUAGGGGAGACUGGAAUUCCUGGUGUAGCGGUGAAAUGCGCAGAUAUCAGGAGGAACACCGAUGGCGAAGGCAGGUCUCUGGGCAGUAACUGACGCUGAGGAGCGAAAGCAUGGGUAGCGAACAGG
rnacentral:rRNA from 1 species